GGUGCAGCUAUCUGUGUAAUUGAGUUCCUCUAUCAUGAGUCCCGAAUGAAUUAGGGUUAAGGUGAACUCAUCAAACCCAAUAUUAGUUAUAUGAAUCAAUCGAUUGAUCCGAGUCCGAUGUGAAAUCCCAAUGGAAAACUUUUUUUCAUUAUUUCACUCUGCCAUGGCCAUGGGCUUAAGAACUCAAUCUUUUGAUCAUCAUAGGACUACUCCUCUC
rnacentral:lncRNA from 1 species